rnacentral:rRNA from 1 species
GACGAACGCUGGCGGCGUGCUUAACACAUGCAAGUCGAACGGAAAGGCCCUGCUUUUGUGGGGUGCUCGAGUGGCGAACGGGUGAGUAACACGUGAGUAACCUGCCCUUGACUUUGGGAUAACUUCAGGAAACUGGGGCUAAUACCGGAUAGGAGCUCCUGCUGCAUGGUGGGGGUUGGAAAGUUUCGGCGGUUGGGGAUGGACUCGCGGCUUAUCGGCUUGUUGGUGGGGUAGUGGCAUACCAAGGCUUUGACGGGUAGCCGGCCUGGGAGGGUGACCGGCCUCAUUGGGACUGAGAGAGGGCCCAGCCGGCAACGGGAGGCAACAGUCGAAAAUAUUACCCAGUGGGCGGGAGCCUGUUGCGCCAACGCCGCGUUCGUGAUGACGUCCUUCGGGUUGUAAACCGCUUUCGCCUGUGACGAAGCGGUCGUGACGGUAAUGAGUAAAGAAGCCCCGGCUAACUACGUG